ensembl:lncRNA
CACACAUGGUGGAAGUGGGAGCCAGGGAUUAAAGCGGACAGGAUGCUAUUUUCAUGCUGCUUCUGAAAGGAAUGGCUUCUCUUCCAGCAGAGGAAGGAGCUGCGGCUGCACGGUGCCAUGCAACAGCGAGCUGCCUGCCAGCUUCCUGUCCAGACCAGGGGUCAGCAGCUCCCUGAAGGACGUGCCCGGCUGCUGAGCUGCAGUGGCCACAUGAGAGCAGCAGCAGCAGCACAGCCCUGCUCCACCAGCCUGGGUGCACAGGAGCUCCCUGACCUCAGGCCUGGCACACAGCAGGUUCCCAAAGUCAGCAUGCGUGACUCUGAAAGAUCCCACCCCGGCCAGAGUGAGGCAGCAAAGCUUCCAGAAGCCAAAGCAGCUGAAAUGAAAAAACGUUCUGUAUUCCACCACUUCAGCUUUGUACAGCAUCAGAAUAUCUUAAAAUGAUGAAAAUCGUGCUCUUGUAAAUGUAAGAACAUAAAGCCAUCGAACCAAGAGUCUAACCCAAAAUUGCCCCCCAUCUCCCCACAUUCCUAAGGAGAUUUAUGAGGAUCAGCUCUAAAGAUCACCACAAGACCAAAACACUUAUCUCAUCAACUGGCCCCCAUUUCCUCAAGUCAUCCAGAAAUGCUAAGCUCAAGCAAUUUGUCAUCUCUACAGUCAUUUGAAAAAUAUGUACAGAGAACCAUUACAUUAAAACCAAGACUAAAAUGGCUGAAAACUUCCACUGCAAGCAUCUUCUGGUGGGGAAGAGAAAUAUCACCGAACAGAAAGACCACAGCUGUGCUGGAGUAAAUCUACAUCUGCAGAUUCACACCACCUGAGGAUCCUGGCCUCAGUUGCUUCAGAAGAAGCCAGAGAACAAAGCAGAGAAGCUAUGUGCCAGUUUCCGAAUAAGAGUGCCUUGUCUCACAUUUCUGCUGAUUUCUUUCAUACCUUCGAAGUUGUUACAGCAGCUCAUAAAGAGAAAAUAAAGAUUAGACACAAGCCUUUGCCCUUGAGACCAUCCCUGACCUCUGGUUUGCCAUUUACAUUUAUUACAAAAGAGCCUGCAAUGUUUCCGAGGCAUGGAAAGGCAUCUGAUGGUUACAGAGGGUUUUGCACCAAUAAUGUUCUGCUCGCCGGGUUUCCUC